AUUAUUAGUGGGCUUUGUAGAUAGCAAAUAGACAAUAUCUGCUUUCAAAAUGAGAUAGGGAUAGACUCGCUGUUCUGUAUGUGGCCAUUUGGCAAUUAUGGAGUUAAAAUAAAAAGAACCUGCAGCUGACACGCCCCCUGAAAGACAGCAGCAGGACAGAGUGCUUUUAUUUAUGCAUUUAUUUAUAUAUUUAUUUAUUUGAUAUUCAACGCUUAGUUUUAACUGCUCACAAGUGAAGGAGAGAGGACAAACAGCGUCCUGUCCGAAACAAACUCAAUAUUCCGUCCCUCUUGUGUGGCCGGUGUUUAACCCCCAAUUUUCACUUCAUUUAAAACACACACAACACGACACGGUUGUUGUUCUGUUGCCAAGGGAGACUUUCACUCCCAGGCCCGUUCUGCGCAAAAGCAACGUCCUUAACGAGCUGGUGGAGGAAUUGAAGAAAACGAGAAGACUCGACUCGAAAAAAAGAACAUUUAUGUAGCAGACGCCUUUGUCCAAGGCGACUUACAGAGACUAGGGUGUGUGAACUAUGCAUCAGCUGCAGAGUCACUUACAACUACGUCUCACCCGAAAGACGGAGCACAAGGAGGUGAAGUGACUUGUUCAGGGUCACACAGUGAGUCAGUGGCUGAGCUGGGAUUUGAACUAGAGACCUCCUGGUUACAAACCCAUUUCUUUAACCACUGGACCACACAGCCUCCUUGAAAAGGUAUGUACUGUACCUGUGCUAUAGCCCUCUGAUAGUACUAAAGAAAACAUAUUCUCGAAAUAGGCGCGCUGUUUGUAACUUUGACGCGCAGGUGUUCUUACAUGGCAGUAUCAGUUUUAAGCACGCGCAGUGUAGUAUCCUGAUCCGCAGAAUGUUUGACAUCUGUUUGCGCUGCGCCAACCUAAUAGGUUAUUGAUGAAAGGCGAUCAGGGACAGGGAAUAAUCUGCUUUGAAUUAAGGAGAAUAAAUCAGCUUUAAUAACAGGUAGUUGAAGUGAGAUAUGUGACCAUAUGUGCAGGUAUUUGAACUACUUUUUGUCCCAGAUCAAAAUACAGUACUGUCUAACAACCCCUUUGUGAGAGGGCGGGGGGAAUCCUGCCCGUUAUAAUACUCAUUAAUUUGUCUCACAUCACAAAACAUACGUUUAUAUUAUCUCUUUAUAGCAGGGACUGUUUCUACUAUACAUUUUCUGAUCAUGCUGUGCAUUAUUAAGCUGGUGGAGCACAAAGGGUACUUCGAUUGCAUCCUCUUCUUCUGCGAUUAGAAUUUCUCUCAAAACCAACUCCAUUUUGGUUCUGCUCAGAGCUGUUGUUCAUCUUCCAAAGCUGUCCACUCUCCGUCUGCACAGACCGUGACGUUAUGCGCAGACUCCCAUCUGCAAUCUAGCCGGCAAAAAAAAAGUGUCGUGAACGCACCCUGUGUUUUGGAAGGUGGAACUGUAACGGAUGUGCAAUGGAUGUAUUGUUUAUCUUUUUGAAUGUAAUAAGAUUGAGUUUUAUUGUGUGAUUUUUAUCAUUUUUACUGUUGCACUGUCCCUUUAAACCCCAGGGAGACUACUGGUCUCCAUAGUAAUAGCAGUGCUAAUUCGUAAUGGGGCCAGCUGUAUAAAAACAGGUGGGGUUAAUCAGUGCGAGGGCGAUCGGGUUUGAGAGAUUUGUAAGCGGAGAGCUGAGAGCACGGGUCAGGGAACGACUGUUGGUGCUGACUGUAGUGAGCUGCUCCAGACAGUAUCAAGAGCUGCGUCAGACUACACUCACCCUGGAGCCUCCAUUCCCAGAGAUAUUCACGGGGGAGACAGUCACUCUGAGGUGUGGGGUU